GAUGAACGCUGGCGGCGUGCCUAACACAUGCAAGUCGAGCGAGGACUUCGGUCCUAGCGGCGGACGGGUGAGUAACGCGUGGGUAAUCUGCCUCAUACACACGGAUAACGUACCGAAAGGUACGCUAAUACGAGAUAAAGUUAAGAAAUGGCAUCAUUUCUUAAUCAAAGAAUUUCGGUAUGAGAUGAGCCCGCGUCCCAUUAGCUAGUUGGUAAGGUAAAAGCUUACCAAGGCGACGAUGGGUAGCCGACCUGAGAGGGUGAUCGGCCACACUGGAACUGAGACACGGUCCAGACUCCUACGGGAGGCAGCAGUGGGGAAUAUUGCACAAUGGGCGAAAGCCUGAUGCAGCAACGCCGCGUGAGCGAUGAAGGUCUUCGGAUCGUAAAGCUCUGUCCUCAAGGAAGAAUUUUGACGGUACUUGAGGAGGAAGCCCCGGCUAACUACG
rnacentral:rRNA from 1 species